CCUACGUGUGGCAGCAGUGGGGAAUAUUGGACAAUGGGCGAAAGCCUGAUCCAGCCAUGCCGCGUGUGUGAAGAAGGCCUUCGGGUUGUAAAGCACUUUCAGUGGGGAAGAAAGCCUUGGGGCUAAUACCCUCGAGGAAGGACAUCACCCACAGAAGAAGCACCGGCUAACUCCGUGCCAGCAGCCGCGGUAAUACGGAGGGUGCGAGCGUUAAUCGGAAUUACUGGGCGUAAAGCGCGCGUAGGCGGUCUGAUAAGCCGGUUGUGAAAGCCCCGGGCUCAACCUGGGAACGGCAUCCGGAACUGUCAGGCUAGAGUGCAGGAGAGGAAGGUAGAAUUCCCGGUGUAGCGGUGAAAUGCGUAGAGAUCGGGAGGAAUACCAGUGGCGAAGGCGGCCUUCUGGACUGACACUGACGCUGAGGUGCGAAAGCGUGGGUAGCAAACAGGAUUAGAUACCCGAGCAGUC
rnacentral:rRNA from 1 species